CACGAACCGUACGAACGUUAUUCGGAAUCACUGGGCUUAAAGAGUGCGUAGGCGGCUUGGCAGGUUGGGUGUGAAAGCCCUCGGCUCAACCGAGGAAUUGCGCUCAAAACCGUCAAGCUUGAGGGAGAUAGAGGUGAGCGGAACUGAUGGUGGAGCGGUGAAAUGCGUUGAUAUCAUCAGGAACACCGGUGGCGAAAGCGGCUCACUGGGUCUCUUCUGACGCUGAGGCACGAAAGCUAGGGGAGCGAACGGGAUUAGAUACCCCCGUA
rnacentral:rRNA from 1 species